GUUCAGAGGGCAUAAUUAUGCUCAAGGAGGGCAGAGGAGUCCCAAGGCACUUGGUGCUCCCAGGGAACUCUUGACUCUUUAUUUAUUUAUCUGACCGAAUAUAACUGCGUCUUGGGUCACUGGGCCUUCAGCAGGGGCUGGUAACAUAGAAAUGUCCAUGGGCAUUUAUUAAUAGUUCCAAAACAAUCCUGAGAUCUCCAAAUGCUAGCACGUGAUUUACCAGCCUUGGUUAUGAAAUACUCUUGGGUACUGUGUGCCCUCAAGUGUAAGUUCAGAUGAAUCAGCUGAAGAAGAGAAACACUAUGCCAAGGAACUACUAAAGGGGUAAAACCAGACUUCCUGCCACGGAGCAUUAGGCCUGGGACUGGCACAUGAAAGAAAUCAGGAAAGCUGCAAAUAAGUGGAUUUACAAACUGGUUGGCACAACUGCCUUGUGGAAAUGCAAUAAAGGUGGCUGUAGCUCCAGAAAGGAACCAGCCUGGACCAGGAGACAGGAUAAAGAAUGGUGCCUCACAGGGCACCGGGACUACAGAUCAGCUGAGCAAGAUGGGAGUAUGUGUGAGCAUGCACUGGGACAGAAGACUCACAGCUUCCCUGAAGCCAUGCAAGCAGCACACGGCCACAGAGAGAGAGAGAGGCAGAGACACAGGCAGAGGGAGAAGCAGGCUCCAUGCACC